rfam:Ictidomys tridecemlineatus contig093389, whole genome shotgun sequence.
GACAUGUAGCUCAGUGGUAAGAGUGUGUACAUGGUAGGCACAAGGCCCUGGGUUUAAUCCCCAGCACUGCCA